UAAUAUGAUCUUAGGCCUUUCGCACACACAGCUACUAAAAAGAAACUAAACUAGUUGGUAAUCAGAGUUAUCAACGGGUUAUCAACUAUGGCUCGCACAUUACGCUACCGAAAAUUAAUAAAACGAGUCACUUCUUGACUGUACUUUGUACUGAGUAGCUUUGUUAGGCGGUGUUUAAGUUUAUAUAUUAUGUUGUCCUGAAUCUAUUUUCUUGUGAAAU
rnacentral:lncRNA from 1 species